AGGAAUCUGCCAUUUAGUGGGGGACAACAUUCCGAAAGGAAUGCUAAUACCGCAUACGUCCUACGGGAGAAAGCAGGGGAUCUUCGGACCUUGGGCUAAAUGAUGAGCCUAAGUCGGAUUAGCUAGUUGGUGGGGUAAAGGCCUACCAAGGCGACGAUCUGUAGCGGGUCUGAGAGGAUGAUCCGCCACACUGGGACUGAGACACGGCCCAGACUCCUACGGGAGGCAGCAGUGGGGAAUAUUGGACAAUGGGCGGAAGCCUGAUCCAGCCAUGCCGCGUGUGUGAAGAUGGCCUUAUGGUUGUAAAGCACUUUAAGCGAGGAGGAGGCUACUUAGAUUAAUACUCUAGGAUAGUGGACGUUACUCGCAGAAUAAGCACCGGCUAACUCUGUGCCAGCAGCCGCGGUAAUACAGAGGGUGCGAGCGUUAAUCGGAUUUACUGGGCGUAAAGCGUGCGUAGGCGGCUUUUUAAGUCGGAUGUGAAAUCCCCGAGCUUAACUUGGGAAUUGCAUUCGAUACUGGGAAGCUAGAGUAUGGGAGAGGAUGGUAGAAUUCCAGGU
rnacentral:rRNA from 1 species